rnacentral:rRNA from 1 species
UACGUAGGGUCCGAGCGUUGUCCGGAGUUACUGGGCGUAAAGCGCGCGCAGGCGGCGGCGUGGGUCCGGCGUGAAAGCCCCCGGCUCAACCGGGGAGGGUCGCCGGGGACCGCGCCGCUUGAGGGCGGCAGGGGCCGGUGGAAUGCCCGGUGUAGUGGUGAAAUGCGUAGAGAUCGGGCGGAACACCCGUGGCGAAGGCGGCCGGCUGGGCCGACCCUGACGCUGAGGCGCGAAGGCGUGGGGAGCGAACGGG